rnacentral:rRNA from 1 species
UUAAGUUAUUAAGGGCGCACGGUGGAUGCCUUGGCACUAGAAGCCGAUGAAGGACGUUACUAACGACGAUAUGCUUUGGGGAGCUGUAAGUAAGCUUUGAUCCAGAGAUUUCCGAAUGGGGAAACCCAGCAUGAGUUAUGUCAUGUUAUCGAUAUGUGAAUACAUAGCAUAUCAGAAGGCACACCCGGAGAACUGAAACAUCUUAGUACCCGGAGGAAGAGAAAGAAAAUUCGAUUCCCUUAGUAGCGGCGAGCGAAACGGGAAGAGCCCAAACCAACAAGCUUGCUUGUUGGGGUUGUAGGACACUCUAUACGGAGUUACAAAGGACGACAUUAGACGAAUCAUCUGGAAAGAUGAAUCAAAGAAGGUAAUAAUCCUGUAGUCGAAAAUGUUGUCUCUCUUGAGUGGAUCCUGAGUACGACGGAGCACGUGAAAUUCCGUCGGAAUCUGGGAGGACCAUCUCCUAAGGCUAAAUACUCUCUAGUGACCGAUAGUGAACCAGUACCGUGAGGGAAAGGUGAAAAGCACCCCGGAAGGGGAGUGAAAUAGAACCUGAAACCGUGUGCUUACAAGUAGUCAGAGCCCGUUAAUGGGUGAUGGCGUGCCUUUUGUAGAAUGAACCGGCGAGUUACGAUUUGAUGCAAGGUUAAGCAGUAAAUGUGGAGCCGUAGCGAAAGCGAGUCUGAAUAGGGCGUUUAGUAUUUGGUCGUAGACCCGAAACCAGGUGAUCUACCCUUGGUCAGGUUGAAGUUCAGGUAACACUGAAUGGAGGACCGAACCGACUUACGUUGAAAAGUGAGCGGAUGAACUGAGGGUAGCGGAGAAAUUCCAAUCGAACCUGGAGAUAGCUGGUUCUCUCCGAAAUAGCUUUAGGGCUAGCCUCAAGUGAUGAUUAUUGGAGGUAGAGCACUGUUUGGACGAGGGGCCCCUCUCGGGUUACCGAAUUCAGACAAACUCCGAAUGCCAAUUAAUUUAACUUGGGAGUCAGAACAUGGGUGAUAAGGUCCGUGUUCGAAAGGGAAACAGCCCAGACCACCAGCUAAGGUCCCAAAAUAUAUGUUAAGUGGAAAAGGAUGUGGCGUUGCCCAGACAACUAGGAUGUUGGCUUAGAAGCAGCCAUCAUUUAAAGAGUGCGUAAUAGCUCACUAGUCGAGUGACACUGCGCCGAAAAUGUACCGGGGCUAAACAUAUUACCGAAGCUGUGGAUUGUCCUUUGGACAAUGGUAGGAGAGCGUUCUAAGGGCGUUGAAGCAUGAUCGUAAGGACAUGUGGAGCGCUUAGAAGUGAGAAUGCCGGUGUGAGUAGCGAAAGACGGGUGAGAAUCCCGUCCACCGAUUGACUAAGGUUUCCAGAGGAAGGCUCGUCCGCUCUGGGUUAGUCGGGUCCUAAGCUGAGGCCGACAGGCGUAGGCGAUGGAUAACAGGUUGAUAUUCCUGUACCACCUAUAAUCGUUUUAAUCGAUGGGGGGACGCAGUAGGAUAGGCGAAGCGUGCGAUUGGAUUGCACGUCUAAGCAGUAAGGCUGAGUAUUAGGCAAAUCCGGUACUCGUUAAGGCUGAGCUGUGAUGGGGAGAAGACAUUGUGUCUUCGAGUCGUUGAUUUCACACUGCCGAGAAAAGCCUCUAGAUAGAAAAUAGGUGCCCGUACCGCAAACCGACACAGGUAGUCAAGAUGAGAAUUCUAAGGUGAGCGAGCGAACUCUCGUUAAGGAACUCGGCAAAAUGACCCCGUAACUUCGGGAGAAGGGGUGCUCUUUAGGGUUAA